GCGGCGUGCUUAACACAUGCAAGUCGAACGGAAAGGCCCUGCUUUUGUGGGGUGCUCGAGUGGCGAACGGGUGAGUAACACGUGAGUAACCUGCCCUUGACUUUGGGAUAACUUCAGGAAACUGGGGCUAAUACCGGAUAGGAGCUCCUGCUGCAUGGUGGGGGUUGGAAAGUUUCGGCGGUUGGGGAUGGACUCGCGGCUUAUCAGCUUGUUGGUGGGGUAGUGGCUUACCAAGGCUUUGACGGGUAGCCGGCCUGAGAGGGUGACCGGCCACAUUGGGACUGAGAUACGGCCCAGACUCCUACGGGAGGCAGCAGUGGGGAAUAUUGCACAAUGGGCGGAAGCCUGAUGCAGCAACGCCGCGUGCGGGAUGACGGCCUUCGGGUUGUAAACCGCUUUCGCCUGUGACGAAGCGUGAGUGACGGUAAUGGGUAAAGAAGCACCGGCUAACUACGUGCCAGCAGCCGCGGUGAUACGUAGGGUGCGAGCGUUGUCCGGAUUUAUUGGGCGUAAAGGGCUCGUAGGUGGUUGAUCGCGUCGGAAGUGUAAUCUUGGGGCUUAACCCUG
rnacentral:rRNA from 1 species